UACGGGGGGGGGCAAGCGUUGUUCGGAAUUACUGGGCGUAAAGGGUCUGUAGGUGGCCAACUAAGUCAGACGUGAAAUCCCUCAGCUUAACUGGGGAACUGCGUCUGAUACUGGUUGGCUUGAGUGCAGGAGAGGAAUGCGGAAUUCCAGGUGUAGCGGUGAAAUGCGCAGAUAUCAGGAGGAACACCAAUGGCGAAGGCAGCUCGCUGGAACGGUACUGACGCUGAGGCGCGAAAGCGUGGGGAGCAAACAGG
rnacentral:rRNA from 1 species